rnacentral:rRNA from 1 species
ACGAACGCUGGCGGCGUGCUUAACACAUGCCAGUCGAACGGAAAGGCCUUUUCGGAGGUACUCGAGUGGCGAACGGGUGAGUAACACGUGGGUGAUCUGCCCUGCACUCUGGGAUAAGCCUGGGAAACUGGGUCUAAUACCGGAUAGGACCGCACUUUAGUGUGUGUGGUGGAAAGUUUUUUCGGUGUAGGAUGAGCCCGCGGCCUAUCAGCUUGUUGGUGGGGUAAUGGCCUACCAAGGCGGCGACGGGUAGCCGGACUGAGAGGUUGGUCGGCCACAUUGGGACUGAGAUACGGCCCAGACUCCUACGGGAGGCAGCAGUGGGGAAUAUUGCACAAUGGGCGCAAGCCUGAUGCAGCGACGCCGCGUGGGGGAUGACGGCCUUCGGGUUGUAAACUCCUUUCGCCAGGGACGAAGCGUUUUGUGACGGUACCUGGAGAAGAAGCACCGGCUAACUACGUG